GUCCAGACUCCUACGGGAGGCAGCAGUGAGGAAUAUUGGUCAAUGGGCGGGAGCCUGAACCAGCCAAGUCGCGUGAGGGAAGAAGGUACUGAGUAUUGUAAACCUCUUUUGCCAGGGGACAAAGGCGGCCACGGGUGGCCGUAAGAGGGUACCUGGAGAAAAAGCAUCGGCUAACUCCGUGCCAGCAGCCGCGGUAAUACGGAGGAUGCGAGCGUUAUCCGGUUUUAUUGGGUUUAAAGGGUGCGUAGGCGGCUCGUUAAGGCAGGGGUAAAAUGGGGGGGCACACCCCCUGCCCGCCAUUGAAACUGGCGUUCUUGAGUGGAAGAGAAGUAUGCGGAAUGCGUGGUGUAGCGGUGAAAUGCUUAGAUAUCACGAAGAACCCCGAUUGCGAAGGCAGCUUACUAAACUGUGACUGACAUUGAUGCUCGAAAGUGUGGGUAUCAAACAGGAUUAGAUACCCGUGUAGC
rnacentral:rRNA from 1 species